UGGGGAAUAUUGGGCAAUGGAGGCAACUCUGACCCAGCAAUGCCGCGUGAAUGAAGAAGGUCUUCGGAUUGUAAAGUUCUUUAAUCAGGGACGAAGAAAAUGACGGUACCUGAGGAAUAAGCCACGGCAAACUAUGUGCCAGCAGCCGCGGUAAUACAUAGGUGGCAAGCGUUGUCCGGAAUGACUGGGCGUAAAGGGAGCGUAGGCGGUCUGUUAAGUUGGGAGUGAAAUCCCGGGGCUCAACCCCGGAACUGCUUUCAAGACUGACGGACUUGAGUGUAAGAGGGGGAAGCGGAAUUCCUAGUGUAGCGGUGGAAUGCGUAGAUAUUAGGAGGAACACCAGUGGCGAAGGCGGCUUUCUGGAUUACAACUGACGCUGAGGCUCGAAAGCGUGGGUAGCAAACAGG
rnacentral:rRNA from 1 species